AAGAUGGUUCAUUUCUUCCUUACAUACACCAUUUACUAUCAUGGAAUUUUUUAAAAUGCAGGAACAACACAUCUGAGAGUGCCCACUGAUCUCUGUCUGUACCACUGGAGACAGGCUUGGAAAUGCUGCUGUAAGACCCCAAGUCAUAGUGACCUACAACAAACUAGCACCUCAAUCUCUUGCCUCAUCCCAAUCCUGCCCUGCUUCUAAUGGCCUGAGAAAAUCAGCUGGGGCAUGGGAAUUGUUCUAGGCCUUGAACAGGCAUGUUUGAGUUGGCCUGUUGUGAGACUCUGGUGAUGAGGGAAAUCCAGCAAUGAGAGCCCAGGAGAAGGAA